rnacentral:rRNA from 1 species
UACGGAGGGUGCAAGCGUUAAUCGGAAUUACUGGGCGUAAAGCGUGCGCAGGCGGUCUGUUAAGACCGAUGUGAAAUCCCCGGGCUUAACCUGGGAACUGCAUUGGUGACUGGCAGGCUUUGAGUGUGGCAGAGGGAGGUAGAAUUCCACGUGUAGCAGUGAAAUGCGUAGAGAUGUGGAGGAAUACCGAUGGCGAAGGCAGGUCUCUGGGCUGACACUGACGCUCAUGCACGAAAGCGUGGGGAGCAAACAGG